UCCCCACAAAUAAAUAAAAUCAUAAAAUAUAUUUAUUAAUAUACCCACUCACCCACAAGUUGUCUUCUUCUAAAACACUAAAACCCUAUUGCUCUUGCCAAAUCUCCUGCUUCCUUCUUCUACUUCUUUCUCUAUUUCUCCCAAAAUUCUCAUUCACAAAGAGGCGCCGCAAAAUCUAUUUUAAGGUUACUGAUGCUGAAAUUUUUCAUAAACAAUGAAUUCCUUCAUUUCUUCGACGAAUAAUGUGAUGAAAUCUAUAAAAGAAUGGUCCCCCACACACAAGCCUCUAAUGCCAACGAAAGGGACCACUACGAGCUUACCAUGAAGUAUGAAAAGGAGAAAGUUCAGAUCUGAAUCACCAAAAGCAAAAAAUUAAAAGGUGAAGAAGAUAUUUUGCAUAUUUCCUCUUUCCUCAAUUAUUUAUCUAUCUUUUUUUAUUGGUACAGUUUGAUAAAUUAAGAAAGGAUAAUUUUCUUUUAUCUAUUAUAGUUUUAAUUAAUUAUUUUGAAAAAGAUAGAACUUCUUGAAAAUCUUAAAUUUUUAAUUCAUCCAAUUUAUAAUCAUUAAGGAUGAAAUAAUAAACUCACUAAUGUCUACUAUUGUUGGUGCUAACUAGAGACUAGAGUACGUACUAAAUAAUUAACUCAUUUACUGCCUUAAUACAAUUUGUUUCUCCAAUUUUUUUUUUAGCCUGUUUCAAAAAAUAUGAGAUAAAAUGUCAUUUUAGUAUAUUAUAUACUAUCUACUUAGUUGAAAAUUAUAAAAUUCAAAAAUCUUCAUUAUUUUCUUAAACACAGUAUUAAAUUAAAACCACGUGUAAAUAACGGCUUAACAGUGUUUUAAAAAAGAAACGUAUUGUUGGUCAAAAACCACAACCGAAUUCUACGUGCUCAAAACAAACUUUCAUAUCUGCUGCCCAGUUUCUUUUCUCCUUUUCUCUCAUUUUUUUUAAAGAAAAAAUAUAUUUUUUUCUCCUAUUCAAUACAGAGAAAAUUACAAAUUUUCUUCAUUUAUCAAAAUAAAAAGUACCUAUGAAGGAGAUAAAUUUUGGAUUUUCUUGAUAGCUGAUAGAAUCAAAAUAUUAGGAAAAAGAAAGAAUACACAAUUAAUUACAACAAAUAAAAAAUUCAAAGAUGGCCUAAAACACCGCUGUCGAACAAAACGGUCAUGAAUUCUUCAGCACGAGUAUUAAUCUUAGCCAUAAAUUCUUCACAUCGUGAAACAACAAAAGAAAAUAGGGUGUUUUGACCUUGUCUCUCCGGAAGUUCAUCAGUAACUUGCCUUCUGCAGAUUGGACACGUCCAAUUGCACUCUAGCCACGCAUCCACGCACAUCGCGUGGAAUGCGUGGCCACACUUGGGCAGUUGUCGACACUUGUCGCCACCGCUCACCUCGCCGAGGCACACGGCACAGUAACAGUAACUGAUUUCCUCGACGAUGGCGUUGAACGGCGGCGGCAAAUAAUUGUCGGGACGGAACCAACGGAAUUUGAUAGUGGAAAUUAAGAAAAUAGCGAUGGCGGUAGCUAUAAAGGUGGGUAAUGGCUCAAAAUGAAAAUUCAUGUUUCUCUCUCUAUCUACUAUGUUUUGCUGAGAAGGAGUUUAUAGUCGACAGUACGAAGUUACAAACAAAUAAAUACAAAAGCCUUAGUUUUGGUUUUAUUACUAGCUAGGUCUAUACUCUAUCCUGUCCUUUAAAAAAAUUACUAUAGUAUAAAUUUAUACUUUUAAAAUAACUAAUUGUGAAUAUAUAGUAUCCUGUCCUUUUACCUUACCAUUAAUGUUAUUAUUAUUUCGGAAAAGGGUCAAAAAUACUCCUAAACUAUUGGAAAUGGAUCAAAUAUACCCUCCGUUUGAUUUUGGAGUCAAAAAUACCCUUACCGUUAGGAGUCGUUUGGUAGAGUGUAUAAGAAUAAUGCAAAAUAGGGUGCAUUAGUAAUACUUGCAUUAGUAGUGCUUGUAUUAGUAAUACUUGCAUUAGUUAUGCAAGUAUUAUUUCUUAUACACUGUUUGAUUUGAUGUAUUAGAAAUAACAAAUCUUGCAUAAUUUCUAUUUAAAAAUAUAUGUUUACAAAAUACCCUUCACAUUUUUGUUUAUUUUUACACUCCCUUGCAACAAAGUUUUUUGCUAAAACAUCAUUAACUCCUCCUCUUCUUCUUUUCAAAAAUAAUAUUAAAUAGUUGUACUAUUUGAGUCAAAAUAUUUUUGUGAAAAGUUGGCAAAUAAUUUUUUUAUCAAAUUUAUCGCCACAAUAGUAAUUUUUUUAUUAAAUUAUGUUGAAAUUAGAUUUUUUUUUUUAAAAAAAAGAAGAUAUUUAAGAGGCAUAAAGUCUAUUAAGACACCAACAAAUUAAAAGACAAUGAAAAACAAAUAAAAAUAAAAAUAAAAACAUAUGACAAGAAAGAAAAUGAAAAAAAAAGAGAAAAUGUUAGGAAAUGUUUUAAAAAGGAUAUGAGGGUAGUUUUGUAAUUAUUUAAUCUUAAUGCAAGUGUUAAAUGCUAUGUAUUACUAAUACCUAGAAUUACUUGGUAUUAAUAAUACACAACUUAAUACACAAUGGAGUGUAUAACUCAUGCACAUGACAAGAAAAAGUGUACCAAACAAGGUACUACUAAUACACACACCUAAUGCAUGCAUUAUAUUUCCUAAUACACUCUACCAAACGACUCCUAGUGUAUUGGCUCACUUUUACCCCUCAAAACUAACAGAUGCCAUGUCACUUAAAAAAUCAUAUAAAACAAUAUUUUUUUGCUGACUUGCAAAUUCAAAUGGACAAAACUCCCAACAUGGCAGCAACAAUCCACAAGUGGGGUGGGUGUAAUACACCCUUGGCUCAAUAAAAGUCCCAAAAUGACAAAAUUACAAUGAAAUUAACACAACAUUUUGAUGCCAAAUCUUUAUUUCACAAUUCUUUAUUAAAAAAAAUACAAACUUUAAUCACUUUUCAGUUUCUUCUAUAGCAAAAUCAAUUCAAUCAACAAUUAAAUAAAUAGGCAUGAAGAUAUAAAUCAUAAAAAGUAUUAAAAAAUCAUCUUGACAGUUUUUCACCAUUCUUAAGGCUAAGGGUAAGAUUUUAACUCCCCGAAUCAGUUUUUCAAUUCAUAGAACGUAAUCUAAUGGGUAAUUAUCGAUGGAGAAGAGAUUUGAUCUAGAAUUUAUGAUGGAAACAUCCCUAAUUUGGAUACUUGGGAUCAUGGUAUAAUCUAGGGUUGUUAGAAUUGUUAGUAAUUUGGGUAAUUAGUGUAUUGUUUAUUGAUUCCCAUAUUAUAUUGAUUGUUUGUAGACCAAGAACAAGCGGAACGAAUCUGGAAAAGGAAGGAUCAAGUUUCUU
rnacentral:lncRNA from 1 species